UACAGAGGUGUCAAACGUUGUCCGGAAUUACUGGGCGUAAAGGGCGCGUAGGCGGCCUUAUAAGUCAGAUGUGAAAGCUCCGGGCUCAACCCGGGAAUCGCAUCUGAUACUGUAAGGCUUGAGUUCGGUAGAGGAGGGCGGAAUUCCAGGUGUAGCGGUGAAAUGCGUAGAUAUUCGGAAGAACACCAGUGGCAAAGGCGACUCGCUGGACAAGUAUUGACGCUGAGGUGCGAAAGCGUGGGGAGCAAACAGGAUUAGAUACCCUUGUAGU
rnacentral:rRNA from 1 species